rnacentral:rRNA from 1 species
CCUACGGGGGGCAGCAGUGGGGAAUCUUGCACAAUGGGGGAAACCCUGAUGCAGCGACGCCGCGUGAGUGAAGAAGUAUCUCGGUACGUAAAGCUCUAUCCGCAGGGAAGAAAAUGACGGUACCUGACUAAGAAGCCCCGGCUAACUACGGGCCAGCAGCCGCGGUAAUACGUAGGGGGCAAGCGUUAUCCGGAUUUACUGGGUGUAAAGGGAGCGUAGACGGGAGCACAAGUCUGGAGUGAAAUCCCGGGGCUGAACCCCGGAACUGCUUUGGAAACUGUGCGGCUAGAGUGAUGGAGGGGUAAGCGGAAUUCCUGGUGUAGCGGUGAAAUGCGUAGAUAUUGGGAGGAACACCGGUGGCGAAGGCGGCUUACUGGACUGUAACUGACGUUGAGGCUCGAAGGCGUGGGGAGCAAACAGGAUUAGAUACCCGAGUAGUC